UCCACGAGAGAGUCCCCACGAUCUCGCUCCCCCGAUUUACCUUUUCCGGAUCUCUCUCCGCCCCCAACGGCGCCGGCACGCUCCCCGUCGCCUUCGCUGACGCGCUCCCUGUUGCCUUCGUCGUCCGCUCGUGUGGGCCGGAAGGUUGCCGCCGCCCAUCGCAGGCCGUCACCACAAUCCAGCCGCCAGCCUUUCCUCACGCAUGGGUCGCGGGUCGCCGCUUGCCGCUCCUCCGCUUGGCCGCCGAGGCCGCGCGGCUUGGUUAUAGGUGGUGCCCCUACUCCAACUUCACGGCCACCUCCCUGUCCGGUGCCAUCCAAUGUGGAUGAGAUGGAGCUGAGCUGCUGAGGUGGUACAGGAGGCCACCGCCCAUCCCCGACCUCCCUUCCCGGUGCGAAAGUCAUCGGCCGCCUCUCCCCGCGAGCUCGACAUGACGACCUCUCCUCUCUUCUGGCCCCGGCGACCUGCACCAGAACACCAACGCUGACCGUGCCUUCCCCAACCUCUUACAGGUAUAUAUGAUGGUCCAUUUUCAGCAAUCAUAUGAUUUUGCAUACUGUACAUACAAAUUUGUUGCAUUUGUUCAGACCUCACGGACAUCACCCAGGAUCAUGAUGGCCCUUUUUUGUUGGCUUUACUACUAUUGCCCCUAACAUUGACCAGAAUCAUGAUCCUAUAUUAAUUUGUGCAAACUUCUGCGAAGAAAAUUUGAUACGAACUCGCUUUCAAGUUUGUGCUACUGAAGGAGAAAAAGUUCAUUAUCCACCAGCAGGUAAAAGCAGGUUCAGUUUUUUACCUCAUUUUUCAUUACCACAGUAGCACUUUCUGUUAGUUCGAACGAUAUCUUAAUGCAUUAUUUACACAUCUAGCUUGUGCUCUCUGACCAGAAUUAGUAAACUGUAGCCGUGAUAAUACUACAUUGUAUUCAGAAAUAGCCGGAGGAGAUAAAGCUAGGUGCUGCAUAUAGGCCGGUGGUGAACCUUUUGAGAGCUGACCUUGCUUCGAAGUUAGAUAAUCAUCUACAAUAAAACCGCAUCCAUAGAUCAACUCAACAAACACCUAAAGGCACUUAAGAUCUUUACUGGUAUCCAGAAUUUGUUGUCUGACCAUCUAAGCGAACUGGCCCACUACGCUAAGGAAUUAGGACAAUUCAUUACUUGAUCUGACUGUUUAUAGUGAGAUCUAAAAGACUGUCAUGGUAUACAAAUAUGAUCUGAAGUCUCAAAGUGCAUGCUGUUCUAUGUUCUUGGGCAUGUCGCAGGCUUAGAAAAACACCACCAAGCUUGCAACAGAAAAAGAUGCACAUACUCACCAUUAUUAUCUUCCUGUGAUAAUUUUAGGUUUGUACCAGGAAAUUUGAAGAGGCAAUUUCAGUUGGUGGUGUGCUUUAAAAUUGCAUAUUGUUGUUCGGGUGUUUCUCCACAAUCGUGUCUUCUUUUUUUGAAUUUCUAGCAUAUGAACUAUCACGUGAAUUUUCCUAGCUCUGGUGGUCGCGCCGCCCAGGACGCCGGCGGCGGAGACAAAGGAAAUUUGUAUUGGGAUGUCGCGGCCGAGCCUCAGGACCUCCGCCUCUGCCCCGACAAGCUGCUGGACCUCCGCCUCGAUGAUCCCCAGGAUCUCCACCUCUAGCUUCGGGAGAGAAAUGAGAUAAUACAGAGCAUGAGAUGCGCCGAUUGCAUAUAAGUUGUUUCUCAUUUGUCACCUAAUUUCCAGUCUUAUUUCCUAUUCCAAGAUCUGUUUUACUUCAUCUUUCUGAUGCAGAGCCCGGGAAAACUUCCAGUAUGCACGUACUGUUAAUCAGCUAUUGCUCCAUCUCUUUGGUAAUAACUCUGCAUUAGUGCCAUCUGUAAGGCUCAGAAACUGGUAUUAAUUUUUUUGCUUGGUCAUACAAUCUGAAUUUUGACCAUGUCACACACACAGCCUAUCAUUUGUGGUUCCAUCAAUAUCACAUAUAAUCCAAUACUUGGAUAAUAUAUACCACUACAAGACAACACAUUUUAGUUGGGCUGAAUUAUAUGAUAUUUACAUAUCAAUGUUAUUGCUCAUAGUAUAUCAUUUGCCAACGUUGUGCAAAUGGUUUCCACAAAAAAACAGGUAGUAUUAUUUUUUAAAUUGUGAUAGGUUAUGUCCUUUUUUACUCGCUUCCACAUCUCAUUCUCGAUAAUGGAAUCGCCAUUGCUUGCCUGUCAAAUAAUGUACGUUGGCAAAAAGAAAGUUUUAUAGCUCUCGAAUCCUUGCCGGUUGUGUUCUUUUUUAUGUCUUUAAUAGCAUGAACAAAGAUAUGUUCAGGUGAUAGCACUUGUGGAAGGAUUAGCCCACCAGUGCUCAGAGGGAACAUGCAUUCUAAGCCAACUCUGCUCCAGCCUUCAACAAGUCAAUCUUGUUUUGUACUAUGGAGUGCAAACUAUGCAGAUGAUGUUUGUGUUUAGAAGUUUCUACUAAAACACAUACAACUUUUUCCCUCUUUGGGUGGGCCAAGUGCCCCCUUUUUCAUACAAUUGAGCUGUGCUCACUUUGACUUAACUUGUAGCCUUGUAAAAUAAAGAGAACAUGUGUUGAUUCCCCAGUUUAUAGCUGAAAUCUUGCACACCGAAGUUGGA